AAAAACAUCGCCUCUUGAACCCUAUAAGAGGUCCAGCCUGCCCAGUGACUCUGUUCAACGGCCGCGGUAUCCUAACCGUGCGAAGGUAGCGUAAUCACUUGUUCUUUAAAUGUGGACUAGUAUGAAUGGCACCACGAAGGUUAUACUGUCUCCUUUUUCUAAUCAGUGAAACUAAUCUCCCCGUGAAGAAGCGGGGAUAAAAUUAUAAGACGAGAAGACCCUAUGGAGCUUUAAACAACACAGCACUUGCCACACAUUAUUAAAAUUUCAGAAUCUUUAACUACCCUAAGCAACAUGACUGUGAGUUUUUGGUUGGGGUGACCGCGGAGCAUAACACAACCUCCAUGUUGAAAGAAUUCUUUUUCUAAGCUAAGAACUACAACUCUAAGCAUCAAUACAUUGACAUCCAUUGACCCAAUAUACUUGAACAACGAACCAAGUUACCCUAGGGAUAACAGCGCAAUCCACUUCAAGAGCUCCUAUCGACAAGUGGGUUUACGACCUCGAUGUUGGAUCAGGGUUUCCCAGUGGUGCAGCCGCUACUAAAGGUUCGUUUGUUCAACGAUUAAAACCCUACAUGAUCUGA
rnacentral:rRNA from 1 species